UACAGAGGUCUCAAGCGUUGUUCGGAUUCAUUGGGCGUAAAGGGUGCGUAGGCGGCGCGGUAAGUCGGGUGUGAAAUCUCGGAGCUUAACUCCGAAACUGCAUUCGAUACUGCCGUGCUUGAGGACUGGGAGAGGAGACUGGAAUUUACGGUGUAGCGGUGAAAUGCGUAGAUAUCGUAAGGAAGACCAGUGGCGAAGGCGGGUCUCUGGACAGUUCCUGACGCUGAGGCACGAAAGGUCAGGGGAGGCAAACGGG
rnacentral:rRNA from 1 species